UAUGGAUAAAACGUAAAUAUGUACCACGGGCGAAGCCAGGACAGACUGCUUGUAUAAUAUAUACGUACCUAUAUAGACUUGUAUUAUGAAAAACGAGACAUCGUUUUGAAAAAUGGGUAAGUCGAUUUUUCACAUAAUUAUACAAGACCCAAGUAGGGACAUAGCGAAAUAUAAAUAUACCAACUAGGUACUUAAACAGUUGCAUACAUUAGAUAGUUAUAUACCUAUUAGCUUGCCUUCUAUCUGUUCAUCAUCUUCAACAGACACAUUUUUCAAACAACAAUAGAUCUGUUACCUAACAUACCUACUUAUCUACUGAUUUUUACAGAUAACACUCAGCCAAAUUACCGAAAAAGUAAUAAAAAGCGUUUACGUCUCUCGGCUCGAAGGAAAAAAUGUGGACCCACAAAACAAAAGAAUAAACAAGCGUUUUUAAAUGAAAACAAAGAAAACAUUGACAGUAAUGAUGUAUCACGGCUUAGUCUGGUGUUUGAAGGAAAUCGGAAUCAUCUUGACAACUAGUACAAAGGGUUUUAUUUAUAGUCCUAGAAUAAUAAAUAUCUUACACAAUUGUA